ensembl:lncRNA
AAGAGGCAAUCCUAGAAAGGGGUAUGAACCAGACCAGACAGAAUGAAGAGUAUCUUAUUUCAUUGGCACAGAACAAAAGAGUGUCUUUCCUUUCCCAGGGCCUGUGGAGUCUAAGGACUCCAAUGAAAGCAGCCUGGCUGAGCUGUGUCCUGAGGACGGAGUUGCAGCCCGCAGGGGAGAGGAGUCCGCCAAGCCUGGUGUUUGGCUGCCUGGGAUUGUUCCUCGCACGUGUGCAAACCCUCGGAUCGUCACACGCGGACGUCUCGGCGUGUCUCUCAUAAUCUCUGACCACGGCCUGGAGUGUCCUCAGAGGGUGUCGCUUCCUCUGUAACAUCCUGUCUGAGGGAACGGGCUGCCAGAAGGCACUGACGGAAAACGUGGGAGGGUCGUGAUUUGUGUCGCCCUGGGUGGGAGAGGGGACUUCAGGACUGCAGAGGUUCUAGAAUGGACGGG